rnacentral:rRNA from 1 species
UGAACGGACACACUGGAACUGNGACACGGUCCAGACUCCUACGGGAGGCAGCAGUAGGGAAUAUUGCUCAAUGGGGGAAACCCUGAAGCAGCAACGCCGCGUGGAGGAUGAAGGUUUUAGGAUUGUAAACUCCUUUUGUUAGAGAAGAUAAUGACGGUAUCUAACGAAUAAGCACCGGCUAACUCCGUGCCAGCAGCCGCGGUAAUACGGAGGGUGCAAGCGUUACUCGGAAUCACUGGGCGUAAAGAGCGCGUAGGCGGGAUAGUCAGUCAGGUGUGAAAUCCUAUGGCUUAACCAUAGAACUGCAUUUGAAACUACUAUUCUAGAGUGUGGGAGAGGUAGG